rnacentral:rRNA from 1 species
GAUCCUGGCUCAGGAUGAACGCUAGCUACAGGCUUAACACAUGCAAGUCGAGGGGCAGCGGGGAGGAUGCUUGCAUUCUCUGCCGGCGACCGGCGCACGGGUGAGUAACGCGUAUCCAACCUUCCCCAUAGUCAGGAAUAGCCCGGCGAAAGUCGAAUUAAUGCCUGAUGUUUUCCACGGACGGCAUCUGAUGUGGAACAAAGAUUGAUCGCUAUGGGAUGGGGAUGCGUCUGAUUAGCUUGUUGGCGGGGUAACGGCCCACCAAGGCAACGAUCAGUAGGGGUUCUGAGAGGAAGGUCCCCCACAUUGGAACUGAGACACGGUCCAAACUCCUACGGGAGGCAGCAGUGAGGAAUAUUGGUCAAUGGGCGGAAGCCUGAACCAGCCAAGUAGCGUGAGGGAUGACUGCCCUAUGGGUUGUAAACCUCUUUUAUAAGGGAAUAAAAUACGGGACGUGUCCUGUUUUGCAUGUACCUUAUGAAUAAGGACCGGCUAAUUCCGUG